rnacentral:rRNA from 1 species
UGGGGAAUAUUGGACAAUGGGCGAAAGCCUGAUCCAGCCAUGCCGCGUGAGUGAUGAAGGCCCUAGGGUUGUAAAGCUCUUUUGUGCGGGAAGAUAAUGACGGUACCGCAAGAAUAAGCCCCGGCUAACUUCGUGCCAGCAGCCGCGGUAAUACGGAGGGGGCUAGCGUUGCUCGGAAUCACUGGGCGUAAAGGGUGCGUAGGCGGGUUUCUAAGUCAGAGGUAAAAGCCUGGAGCUCAACUCCAGAACUGCCUUUGAUACUGGAAGUCUUGAGUUCGGGAGAGGUGAGUGGAACUGCGAGUGUAGAGGUGAAAUUCGUAGAUAUUCGCAAGAACACCAGUGGCGAAGGCGGCUCACUGACCCGAUACUGACGCUGAGGCACGAAAGCGUGGGGAGCAAACA